AGUGAACGCUGGCGGUAGGCCUAACACAUGCAAGUCGGACGAGUGGCGGACGGGUGCGGAAUACAACGGAAUCUACUCUGUCGUGGUGGAUAGCGUAGAGAAACUUACGCUAAUACCGCAUACUAUUGAAUGAUCCGAUGUCGGAUUAGCUCGUUGGAGGGGUAAAGGCCCACCAAGGCGACGAUCCGUAGCGGUUCUGGGAGGUUGAUCACCCAAACUGGACCGGGGACACGGUCCAGAUUCCUACGGGAGGCAGCAGUGGGAAAUAUUGGACAAUGGGCGAAAGCCGGCUCCAGCAAUCCCGCGUGGGUGAAGAAGGCUUUCGGGUUGUAAAGCCCUUUUGUUGGGAAAGCGGUACCCAAAGAGUAAGCACCGGCUAACUUCGUGCCAGCAGCCGCGGUAAUAC
rnacentral:rRNA from 1 species